rnacentral:rRNA from 1 species
UACAGAGGGUGCAAGCGUUGUUCGGAAUUAUUGGGCGUAAAGCGCGUGUAGGCGGCUUUGCAAGUCGGGUGUGAAAGCCCUCGGCUCAACCGAGGAAGUGCGCCCGAAACUGCAGAGCUUGAGUACCGGAGAGGAUGGCGGAAUUCCCCAAGUAGAGGUGAAAUCGUAGAUAUGGGGAGGAACACCGGUGGCGAAGGCGGCCAUCUGGACGGAUACUGACGCUGAGACGCGAAAGCGUGGGUAGCAAACAGG